rnacentral:ncRNA from 1 species
UGCAAGUAUCCGCAUACCCGUGAAAACGCCCUUAACACCUUUUUUAGGAUAAGGAGCCGGUAUCAGGCACAAUAUCCCUGCCCACAACACCUAGCUUCGCCACACCCCUAAGGGUAUUCAGCAGUGAUAAACAUUGUUAAUAAGCGCCAGCUUGAUUCAGUCAAAGUAAAUAGAGCCGGCCAACCCGGUGCCAGCCGCCGCGGCUAUACCGUCGGGCCCAAGUUAACAGGUAACGGCGUUAAGCGUGUUUUAAGUACCUUAAACAAUUAGAAUUUAAUUUUAACCAAGUUGUGAUAUACUUGUUACCAAGAAAAACAAAACGAAAGUUAUUCUAAUACAACCACUUGAACCCACGACAGCUAGGACACAAACUGGGAUUAGGUACCCCACUAUGCCUAGCCGUAAAAUAUUUAUUUACAUCCUAAACCGCCAGGGAAUUACGAGCCCAAGCUUAAAACCCAAAGGACUUGACGGUGCCCCACCCACCUAGAGGAGCCUGUUCUAUAAUCGAUUUUCCCCGAUAUACCCAACCACUUUUAGACCAUCAGCCUGUAUACCUCCGUCGUAAGCUUACCAUAUGAACGUAAAAUAGUGAGCUAAAAGAUCUUUAAUCAAUACGUCAGGUCAAGGUGCAGCCCACAAAGCGGAAAGAAAUGGGCUACAAUUUCUAACUUAGAACACACGAAAGACUGUAUGAAACACAGCCAUGAAGGCGGAUUUAGUAGUAAAAAGAAAAUAGAGAGUUCUUUUUAAUUAGGCACUGGGACGCGUACACACCGCCCGUCACCCUCUUCAAAUGCCUAACCAAGUUUAUAACACAUUUUGCACUACAGAA